GAUGAACGCUAGCGAUAGGCUUAACACAUGCAAGUCGAGGGGCAGCAUGGUCUUAGCUUGCUAAUACUGAUGGCGACCGGCGCACGGGUGCGUAACGCGUAUGCAACUUGCCUCACAGAGGUGAAUAACCCGUCGCAAGACUGACUAAUACCGCGUACACUCCAUCUUUGGUUUUCAAGUGAGAGGUAAUUAAAUUAUCUGUUAGAUAUGCAUGCGUUCCAUUAUCUAGUUGGUGAGGUAACGGCUCACCAAGGAGACGAUGGGUAGGGGAACUGAGAGGCUGACACACUACAACGGUGCUGAGACACGGACCAGAAUGCGACGGGAGGGAGCAGUGACGAACAUUGGUCGAGGAGCGAGAGCCUGAACAAGCCAAGUCGGGUAAAGGAGGAUUGUCUUAUGGAUUGUAUACUUCUUUUAUACGGGAAUAGCAAGAGUAACGUGUGACUCCCUGAAGGUACCGUAUGAAUAAGCAUCGGCUAACUCCGUG
rnacentral:rRNA from 1 species